UUGGAAAAUAGCCUUGUAUUUGUCCACACGGGUAGACACACGGGCAUGUGUCUAAGCCGUGUGUGACACAUGGCCUGCCCUCACGGGUGUGUAGUCUGACCGUGUGUCCCCUGCAUCUUGUACUUUAAAUUUGAAUUGGUCACACGGGCUGAGACACGAUCAUGUGUCUCGACCAUGUGAGGGACAUGGCUUUGGGACAUAGGCGUGUGCUUUGUCCGUGUGCCCCUAAUUUGGUGAUGAUGUCAUAAACAGAGAGUUACACAGGCUGAGAACAUGGGUGUGUCCCAAGCCACACGAGCGCGUGUGACACAUG
rnacentral:lncRNA from 1 species